GCUCCAAUGGCCUAGUGGUUAGUGCGUCCGCCUCAAAUGUGGGAGGUCGUGGGUUCGAUCCUUGGCCAAGUGAUACU